GUGUCAGCCGCCGCGGUAAUACGUAGGACCCGAGCGUUGUCCGGAUUUACUGGGUAUAAAGGGUGCGUAGGCGGCCUUGUGCGUCAGAGGUGAAAUAUCCGGGCUUAACCCGGAGGGUGCCUUUGAUACGGCAGGGCUUGAGUGCGAGAGAGGAUGAUGGAAUUCCUGGUGUAGCGGUGAAAUGCGUAGAUAUCAGGAGGAACACCGGUGGCGAAGGCGGUCAUCUGGCUCGUAACUGACGCUGAGGCACGAAAGCGCGGGGAUCAAACAGGAUUAGAUACCCUUGUAGUCC
rnacentral:rRNA from 1 species